rfam:Yellow fever virus complete genome, 17D vaccine strain
CAGGGAAAGACCGGAGUGGUUCUCUGCUUUUCCUCCAGAGGUCUGUGAGCACAGUUUGCUCAAGAAUAAGCAGACCUUUGGAUGACAAACACAAAACCA